rnacentral:tRNA from 1 species
ACCUGGAUAGCUCAAUCAGUUGAGCAUCUGACUUUGGCUCAGGUCAUGAUCUCCAGGUU